ACUUUAGUAGCUUAAGUUAAAGCAUAACAUUGAAGAUGUUAAGAUAAUAUUUAUAUAUAUUUUAAGGUA
rnacentral:tRNA from 1 species